rnacentral:lncRNA from 1 species
CCUAUGAUGGUGCACAUGAAGCCUAGAUUGAGGGAAAUAUUGCCAAAAUACAUCAAUAAACAAUUAGCAUGAAGGUGUUCCAAAUUUAUAAUUAGUAGCAAAUCUGAUUUUGACAUUGUAUUAACUAAAUAAUUGAUUCAUAAACUUAACUUCACAAGAAAAGGCUCAAAAUAGUCAAGAUGUAUAUAGGCUUAACAUUCCCUAUCCAUUCCUC